AGAGUUUGAUCCUGGCUCAGAACUAACGCUGGUGGCGUGUCUUAGUCAUGCAAGUCGAACGAGAAAGCACCUUCGGGUGCGAGUAAAGUGGCGAACGGGUGAGUAACACGUGGGUAACCUACCUUUGAGUGGGGAACAAUCCCUCUAACGAGGGGCUAAUACCGCAUAAUGCAGCGGCUCCGCAUGGAGACAGUUGUUAAAGGGGCAGCUUCGGUUGUCUCGCUUGAAGAUGGACCCGCGGUCCAUUAGCUUGUUGGUGAGGUAACGGCUCACCAAGGCAACGAUGGAUAGCCGGCCUGAGAGGGUGUACGGCCACACUGGAACUGAGAAAGGUCCAGUCCCCUACGGGGGCCAGCAGUCUAGAAAUUUGCGCAAUGGGCGAAAGCCUGACGCAGCGACGCCACGUGGAGGAUGAAGCCCUUAGGGGUGUAAACUCCUGUCAGAAGGGAAGAAUGCAGGAAAUAACUUUUCCUGUUUGACGGUACCUUCAGAGGAAGCCCCGGCUAACUUCGUGCCAGCAGCCGCGGUAAUACGAAGGGGGCAAGCGUUGUUCGGAUUUACUGGGCGUAAAGGGUCCGCAGGCUGUCGGGUAAGUUGGAUGUGAAAGCUCAAGGCUUAACCUUGGAAUUGCAUCCAAAACUGCCUGACUAGAGUCCAAGAGAGGUUGGCGGAAUUCCCGGUGUAGCGGUGAAAUGCAUAGAUAUCGGGAGGAACACCAGAGGCGAAGGCGGCCAACUGGCUUGGUACUGACGCUCAGGGACGAAAGCGUGGGUAGCAAACCGGAUUAGAUACCCGGGUAGUCCACGCCCUAAACGAUGGAUGCUAGGUAGGGGGAAGUUGCUUCUCCCUGCCGUAGUUAACGCAUUAAGCAUCCCGCCUGGGGAGUACGGUCGCAAGGCUGAAACUCAAAGGAAUUGGCGGGGGCCCGCACAAGCGGUGGAGCACGUGGUUUAAUUCGAUGCUAAGCGAAAAACCUUACCAAGACUUGACAUGUUAGCUUAAGCCCGUGUGAAAGCAUGUGGUGGUUCCGGGUUUUCCCGGAGCAGUUAUCACAGGUGCUGCAUGGCUGUCGUCAGCUCGUG
rnacentral:rRNA from 1 species